rnacentral:rRNA from 1 species
CAGCCGCCACGGGAAAACGAAGGGGGCUAGCGUUACUCGGAAUUACUGGGCGUAAAGGGCGCGUAGGCGGCACGAUUAGUCAGGCGUGAAAUUCCUGGGCUCAACCUGGGGACUGCGCUUGAUACGGUCGAGCUAGAGGAUGGAAGAGGGUUGUGGAAUUCCCAGUGUAGAGGUGAAAUUCGUAGAUAUUGGGAAGAACACCGGUGGCGAAGGCGGCAACCUGGUCCAUUACUGACGCUGAGGCGCGACAGCGUGGGGAGCAAACAGGAUUAGAUACCCCAGUAGUCCCUGUCUCUUAUAC